UGCCGAUGACUCGGGGAUAGCCUUUCGAAAGAAAGAUUAAUACCCGAUGGCAUAGUUCUUCCGCAUGGUGGAACUAUUAAAGAAUUUCGGUCAUCGAUGGGGAUGCGUUCCAUUAGGUUGUUGGCGGGGUAACGGCCCACCAAGCCUUCGAUGGAUAGGGGUUCUGAGAGGAAGGUCCCCCACAUUGGAACUGAGACACGGUCCAAACUCCUACGGGAGGCAGCAUG
rnacentral:rRNA from 1 species